rnacentral:lncRNA from 1 species
AUGUCCGUUUCGGUAAGGAUUAAUGGCUAGGAAAAGUGCAGAGUUGACACGGCCGGGUGGUGAACUGACACGGCCGGGUGAAGGCUUCGGUAUAUUAUCCGUGAACUACGACGGGCCUCCUAAACAUGAUUUCGAGUGUUUCCUUGACGGUUAUAAGUUGUAAACCCAAGUCUAAGCCUCAUGUAAUUUAUAUAAGAGUGUGAUAGAUGUAUGUAAUGAAGUUGGACAUGUAUUACAUGUAAAUGUAUACAAAAAUACGUACGGAAUACGUAGAUAUGAAUACAUGAUUGUAGGUAUGAUUAAAUGUAUAUUAGGUAUGUAGAUGUGUAUGAUUGUAAGUUUGUAUGUGUGCAAGUAUGUGCGAAUGCAUGAUUUGGAUGCAUUUGAGAAUUAGCGUUACUAAUAAUGCCCUUGGGUUUGGAAUAUAAGUUAAUUGGAUGCAUUUAAAUGGUUGACGUCCUUUUUAUGAAGAUGUAGUAAAUGAAUAUGUUGAGAUUACGGGUUUGGCUAACCAAGUUAUUAUUGAGUAUGUUUGAAAGUGCAGGUUAUGAAUGUCGGACUUUCGAAGUGUUGAUAUAAUAAUGAAACGGUUGAAUGCUG